GACCCGGAUGUACUCAAAAUAUCUUGCUCUUAUCAACGUCUCCGGUAAUAAACAACACACUCUGUGUGUACCCUCUGAGAAAAUCCAAAUGCGAGUGAAGGCAAGUUCAAUCGGCAAGAAAUUGUGUCAUCGCAAGAGAACUCUGGAAGACGACUCAAUCGAUUCGAUACACACAAGCACAAGCACACACCUGGACCUGGAAGUAAGCCAUCGUGAUAAUGAUGCCUUCCGUCUUGUGGCCCCUGGCCACAAAGACGGCCUGAACUAAUGACUCGAUGUUACUCUGUUAUAUCGAAUUACAUCACACUUGUGACGUGCUAUGAUUUGAAGUCUUCUGUAGUAUCUAGCACAAGU